rnacentral:rRNA from 1 species
AGCAGUCGCCGCGGGAAUACAGAGGGUGCGAGCGUUAAUCGGAUUUACUGGGCGUAAAGCGUGUGUAGGUUGUUGUUCAAGUCAGUUGUGAAAUCCCUGGGCUCAACCUGGGAACUGCUUCUGAGACUGAACGACUAGAGUACGGUAGAGGGUGGUGGAAUUUCCGGUGUAGCGGUGAAAUGCGUAGAUAUCGGAAGGAACAUCAAUGGCGAAGGCAGCCACCUGGGCCUGUACUGACACUGAGACACGAAAGCGUGGGGAUCAAACAGGAUUAGAUACCCCAGUAGUCCCUGUCUCUUAUAC